AAAUUAAUAGAAAAGUUGGAAUGAUUUCUCUGUCUCUGAUAAAAUGGCUUUUGGCUUUAUUUAUUUAUUUUAUGUGAGGAGGACCCCUAAGAUCCUGUGAUAAGCUCUGAAUGGAUGGUUUCCCAUUGAAGUCGGCAUGGUUUCAUACAAAUGCCAGGUUCUGGCACUGUCGAGCUCAUUGAAAGCUUGGGCUCACUCCCCUUCUGCAUAGGAAGGGACAUACCUUACUACUUGGGCUUUCUUAGGUGAUCAGUGGAAUAGAUUUUUUGGGAGCACUUUGACAAAAUGUUAGUAAAUCGGAGCACAAGAAUCUUUAGUUGUGGAGCUUGGGGAAAAAUUAUAGGUUCUUCCAAUUUUUUGGUUCUGGAGGCUUUGAUUUGGCAAAAUGGUACCAGCACCAUUUGGCAGAAGUAGUAUUUAAUUAGGUGAACUCUUGUGACAC